CACUCCUGCGGGAGGCAGCAGUGGGGAAUUUUGGACAAUGGGCGAAAGCCUGAUCCAGCAAUGCCGCGUGUGUGAAGAAGGCCUUCGGGUUGUAAAGCACUUUUGUCCGGAAAGAAAUCCUUGGCUCUAAUACAGUCGGGGGAUGACGGUACCGGAAGAAUAAGCACCGGCUAACUACGUGCCAGCAGCCGCGGUAAUACGUAGGGUGCGAGCGUUAAUCGGAAUUACUGGGCGUAAAGCGUGCGCAGGCGGUUUGCUAAGACCGAUGUGAAAUCCCCGGGCUCAACCUGGGAACUGCAUUGGUGACUGGCAGGCUAGAGUAUGGCAGAGGGGGGUAGAAUUCCACGUGUAGCAGUGAAAUGCGUAGAGAUGUGGAGGAAUACCGAUGGCGAAGGCAGCCCCCUGGGCCAAUACUGACGCUCAUGCACGAAAGCGUGGGGAGCAAACAGGAUUAGAUACCCUUGUAGUCCCAUGAU
rnacentral:rRNA from 1 species